GACGAACGCUGGCGGCGUGCUUAAACCUGCAAGUCGAACGGAAAGGCCCUGCUUUUGUGGGGUGCUCGAGUGGCGAACGGGUGAGUAACACGUGAGUAACCUGCCCUUGACUUUGGGAUAACUUCAGGAAACUGGGGCUAAUACCGGAUAGGAGCUCCUGCUGCAUGGUGGGGGUUGGAAAGUUUCGGCGGUUGGGGAUGGACUCGCGGCUUAUCAGCUUGUUGGUGGGGUAGUGGCUUACCAAGGCUUUGACGGGUAGCCGGCCUGAGAGGGUGACCGGCCACAUUGGGACUGAGAUACGGCCCAGACUCCUACGGGAGGCAGCAGUGGGGAAUAUUGCACAAUGGGCGGAAGCCUGAUGCAGCAACGCCGCGUGCGGGAUGACGGCCUUCGGGUUGUAAACCGCUUUCGCCUGUGACGAAGCGUGAGUGACGGUAAUGGGUAAAGAAGCACCGGCUAACUACGUG
rnacentral:rRNA from 1 species